GUGUGUGUGUGUGAGAGAGGAAGUGCGCGAGCGAGUGUGAGUGUGAGUGAUUGUUCCUUUUAAAACCUACACACUGAUCUUAUUUGAUCCGGACCGAGUGUGGCUCCGCUUGGUCCGGAGAUGAUAGCACCUUCGCUUGCUAGCCUUGAGCGGCGAUGCGCAGACGGCGCGCUGGAAAGACUGGGGCCGCCACCGACUCUGUUGUGGCAAGAGGUGAUGAAUUGAUCAGAUAUACUAGUGCCGCGUGUGUUGGGCUGCGUCCCGAGCCGCAGGCGGCGCCGUGAGUACAGAAGCGAUUCUGAUCUG